GCAGUCGUGGCCGAGUGGUUAAUGCGAUGGACUAGAAAUCCAUUGGGAUCUCCCCGCACAGGUUCGAAUCCUGUCGACUGCG
rnacentral:tRNA from 1 species